UACGUAGGUGGCAAGCGUUGUCCGGAAUUAUUGGGCGUAAAGCGCGCGCAGGCGGUUUCUUAAGUCUGAUGUGAAAGCCCACGGCUUAACCGUGGAAGGUCAUUGGAAACUGGGAGACUUGAGUGCAGAAGAGAAGAGCGGAAUUCCACGUGUAGCGGUGAAAUGCGUAGAGAUGUGGAGGAACACCAGUGGCGAAGGCGGCUCUCUGGACCGACACUGACGCUGAGGCGCGAAAGCGUGGGGAGCAAACAGG
rnacentral:rRNA from 1 species